rnacentral:rRNA from 1 species
UGGGGAAUAUUGGACAAUGGGCGAAAGCCUGAUCCAGCAAUGCCGCGUGUGUGUAGAAGGCCUUCGGGUUGUAAACCGCUUUCAGUAGGGAAGAAGCGAAAGUGACGGUACCUACAAAAGAAGCACCGGCUAACUCCGUGCCAGCAGCCGCGGUAAUACGGAGGGUGCGAGCGUUAAUCGGAAUUACUGGGCGUAAAGCGUGCGUAGGCGGCUCGUUAAGUCAGAUGUGAAAGCCCUGGGCUCAACCUGGGAACUGCAUUUGAAACUGGCGAGCUAGAGUUUGAGAGAGGUAAGUGGAAUUUCAGGUGUAGCGGUGAAAUGCGUAGAGAUCUGAAGGAACACCAGUGGCGAAGGCGACUUACUGGCUUAAAACUGACGCUGAGGUACGAAAGCGUGGGUAGCAAACAGG